AAUUCAAGAAUAGUCCCUGAAUUUCUACGACUUUUGCAAAUUAGUCCAGAUUGACUUGAAGUGAAGUGGGUAGAUCGGAUCAACACAACAGGGCACACUAUUCAGAUCAAUUCUGGUAGUUUUUGUUUUAUGUUUAAAGAUUUAUAUGGCAUGUAUAGAGUUUGAAUGAAUUGAAGUAAAGAUGUUAUGAACUAGUUAACAAUAUUUGUACUAAAACAGUUUUUGGUAAGUAGCAGUAGUUUGACUUUGAAAAUUCACCAUAAA